GAGUAAGAACAACAACAAGCUCAUCAUGGAUUCAUCAAGUUCAUGAUUAUGCAUUACACACAAAACCUAACCCCCAAAUUUAUAAAGUUUCUUCCCCCAAAUGCUAUACUAGUGGAUGAGUAAGAACAACAACAAGCUCAUCAUGGAUUCAUCAAGUUCAUGAUUAUGCAUUACACACAAAACCUAACCCCCAAAUUUAUAAAGUUUCUUCCCCCAAAUGCUAUACUAGCUAAGAAC
rnacentral:lncRNA from 1 species